CGACUUGGCUCACACACUUGGACUUCCCGAUACAUUGUGCGAUUUGGUUGCUGUCGUAUAAUCCUAGAACCUUAGAAUUAAUAAAGUCUAGAACUGACGGACCGGCGUUUGAAGUACCUUUAUUGAUUUGAUAUUAGGUCUACAUAAUAUGACAAUGAGGUGUAUGUCAUGCAAUAUUAAAUUGGAGGAGGAGACACAGUACUAUAAUGUAGGCGAUAUUGGCGCUCAACUUAUUGCACUUAUAGCAAGAACUCUCAACUGUGAGAUUGACCUCCAGGCCUACUUAUGCGAAGAAUGUUUUACUUCUUUUACACAAAAACUAUAUUCAGAAGCAAGAUCUCAUUCAAAUAAGCACGAUUCAAUAAUUCAUUGCGUUUGGUGCAAGAAAUCAAUUAAUGGCCGUCGCUCUCAUUCUUUACCAAAUGGACCGGAGAGAAGACAAAUAGCUCUUCGUAUAUUACCUAUACAAGUAAGUGAUGCAUGUAAUUUUGUUAACAUAUUUAUACAGGGUGUUAGGUAAAUGUGUAUAUGAGCCGACGCUAGCCCAUGUUAACAUGGGCAUAUAAAUGGUAUGGUGA